UUAGCUUAUAUUUGUAUGGAAUGGGAUCGUUUGCGUACGUUUGCCGCUAGGGGCGCUGUUCCAACUGCAUACAAAACUGGCUUA
rnacentral:pre_miRNA from 1 species